GGAAGCACUUCUUCAUUCUACAGAAAAGGUGACACAUUACAGAUGAGUUCAUAAAAAGUGUCACUGUCACUCUUUCAAGGCUCGGUCACUUUUUCUUAUUUACUGGAACAGCAUGGUAAAGUAGGCCUAGGCUGCCAUCUUGUGGCAGUGUGUUGUUACUACAACAUGUGAAAUUGUGUUUCUAUUGGAAAUAUAAUUCAGCGCCACCGAGCCGCUCUCUCAGUUACAAACUGAACCUGUUUUUUUAGCCAUAUAAAUCACUAAGCACAGUGAAGCUUUUGGUUUUGUCAAAGUGUUUCUUAUUCAAAAUGCAUGUUGAUUUUUAUAAGGUUGAAGAGCAGUUAGCAGUGCAUUGAUGGACAUCUUUAAACUAUUAAUUGAAGAAUCUUUGGUCAUGAACUAGAAACGUGAGCUCCAGUCCCAUGGAGGCUAAGAUUGGCACUGAGGCUGGCCAGCAGAAGGUGAGGGCCUGGGGUCCUGGACUGGAAGGAGGCGUUGUUGGUUUCUCUCAGACCAAGAUUGAAUGUGAUGACAAGGGUGAUG